CCUAACUCUGUGUCACCACGCGUCCGGUAUUCGUGUCACUUCAUCUCCUCAGGGCGGUAUUUUAUAAUCUCACAUGGUCCCAAGAAGUAAGUGUAACUGUGUUGGGACCUUCCUGAGACUAAACCUUGAAGGUGAAAUAGAAGCAUGAAGCUACUGGAUGAAGUUUAGAGAGGAAAAGUUACAGACCCUGGACAAUAGUGGUGGCUGGAGCCACUGAAUCACUUAACCUCUAUACGUGUCAGACAGCAGCUCCUGCCCAUACCUUCUUUUCGGCUCUGUCUACUACUUCUGUCUCUUUUUUACCCUCAUGGCUGGACUCAACUGAGAUGGGGCAAGUGGGGAGAAAGAACUUUCCUUACUAAGACUCGGACUGAAGAACAAACAGGUCGCUGCUGUUCUUCUCGAGCUUCCUCGGCCACGUGAGCUCCGCUUCCUCACCUGCAUACCCAGCACCUGGGUGGCUCAGAUGGUUAAGCGUC